UCCCAUUUCUAGAUAUAAAAUAUAAAAUUUAGAUUGAUAUUGUUUAUAAAAAUAUGUAUAUUACGUAUGAAAAAUUAGAUAUUGUGAAAAUUAUGAAAUCUCUUUAAUUUGACUAUGAUUCGAAUUUAGCCAAUAGGACUGAUCAUUAUUCACACGUCAGAAAUUAAUUUCUUCUAAACCUAACUAAUCGAAUUGGUCGCUAGCUAAACUAGAUCUUUUUGAAUAUAGCCAGUCGAGGCGAAUCGUUGGCGUACAUC
rnacentral:lncRNA from 1 species